ACGUAAUUGUUAUAACACAGUGGGGUAACCUGCCUGUAAGACUGGGAUAACUCCGCGGAAACCGGGGCUAAUACCGGAUGCUUGUUUGAACCGCAUGGUUCAGACAUAAAAGGUGGCUUCGGCUACCACUUACAGAUGGACCCGCGGCGCAUUAGCUAGUUGGUGAGGUAACGGCUCACCAAGGCGACGAUGCGUAGCCGACCUGAGAGGGUGAUCGGCCACACUGGGACUGAGACACGGCCCAGACUCCUACGGGAGGCAGCAGUAGGGAAUCUUCCGCAAUGGACGAAAGUCUGACGGAGCAACGCCGCGUGAGUGAUGAAGGUUUUCGGAUCGUAAAGCUCUGUUGUUAGGGAAGAACAAGUGCCGUUCAAAUAGGGCGGCACCUUGACGGUACCUAACCAGAAAGCCACGGCUAACUACGUGCCAGCAGCCGCGGUAAUACGUAGGUGGCAAGCGUUGUCCGGAAUUAUUGGGCGUAAAGGGCUCGCAGGCGGUUUCUUAAGUCUGAUGUGAAAGCCCCCGGCUCACCGGGGAGGGUCAUUGGAAACUGGGGAACUUGAGUGCAGAAGAGGAGAGUGGAAUUCCACGUGUAGCGGUGAAAUGCGUAGAGAUGUGGAGGAACACCAGUGGCGAAGGCGGACUCUCUGGUCUGUAACUGACGCUGAGGAGCGAAAGCGUGGGGAGCGAACAGGAUUAGAUACCCUGGUAGUCCACGCCGUAAACGAUGAGUGCUAAGUGUUAGGGGGUUUCCGCCCCCUUAGUGCUGCAGCUAACGCAUUAAGCACUCCGCUGGGGGAGUAGGGUCGCAGAUGAACUAAGGAAUUGAGGGGGGCCCGGCACAAGCGGUGAGCCAUUGUGGGUUUACGAAGCAACGCGAAGAACCUUACCAGGUCUUGACAUCCUCUGACAAUCCUAGAGAUAGGACGUCCCCUUCGGGGGCAGAGUGACAGGUGGUGCAUGGUUGUCGUCAGCUCGUGUCGUGAGAUGUUGGGUUAAGUCCCGCAACGAGCGCAACCCUUGAUCUUAGUUGCCAGCAUUCAGUUGGGCACUCUAAGGUGACUGCCGGUGACAAACCGGAGGAAGGUGGGGAUGACGUCAAAUCAUCAUGCCCCUUAUGACCUGGGCUACACACGUGCUACAAUGGGCAGAACAAAGGGCAGCGAAACCGCGAGGUUAAGCCAAUCCCACAAAUCUGUUCUCAGUUCGGAUCGCAGUCUGCAACUCGACUGCGUGAAGCUGGAAUCGCUAGUAAUCGCGGAUCAGCAUGCCGCGGUGAAUACGUUCCCGGGCCUUGUACACACCGCCUUGUCACACCACGAGAGUUUGUAACACCCGAAGUCGGUAAGGUAACCUCCAGGGAGCACGGGCGCUCCGGCCCGA
rnacentral:rRNA from 1 species